UUUGAUCCUGGCUCAGAUUGAACGCUGGCGGCAUGCCUUACACAUGCAAGUCGAACGGUAACGCGGGGCAACCUGGCGACGAGUGGCGAACGGGUGAGUAAUGCAUCGGAACGUGCCCAGUAGUGGGGGAUAGCCCGGCGAAAGCCGGAUUAAUACCGCAUACGACCUACGGGUGAAAGGGGGGGAUCGCAAGACCUCUCGCUAUCGGAGCGGCCGAUGUCAGAUUAGGUAGUUGGUGGGGUAAAAGCCUACCAAGCCAACGAUCUGUAGCUGGUCUGAGAGGACGACCAGCCACACUGGGACUGAGAGACGGCCCAGACUCCUACGGGAGGCAGCAGUGGGGAAUUUUGGACAAUGGGCGCAAGCCUGAUCCAGCCAUGCCGCGUGCGGGAAGAAGGCCUUCGGGUUGUAAACCGCUUUUGUCAGGGAAGAAAAG
rnacentral:rRNA from 1 species